GACGAACGCUGGCUGCGUGCUUAACACAUGCAAGUCGAACGGAAAGGCCCUGCUUUUGUGUGGUGCUCGAGUGGCGAACGGGUGCGUAACACGUGAGUAACCUGCCCUUGACUUUGGGAUAACUUCAGGAAACUGGGGCUAAUACCGGAUAGGAGCUCCUGCUGCAUGGUGGGGGUUGGAAAGUUUCGGCGGUUGGGGAUGGACUCGCGGCUUAUCAGCUUGUUGGUGGGGUAGUGGCUUACCAAGGAUUUGACGGGUAGCCGGCCUGAGAGGGUGACCGGCCACAUUGGGACUGAGAUACGGCCCAGACUCCUACGGGAGGCAGAAGUGGGGAAUAAUGCACAAUGGGCGGAAGACUGAUGCAGCAACGCCGAGUGCGGGAUGACGGCCUUCGGGUUGUAAACCGCUUUCGCCUGUGACGAAGCGUGAGUGACGGUAAUGGGUAAAGAAGCACCGGCUAACUACGUG
rnacentral:rRNA from 1 species